AUUGAACGCUGGCGUCAGGCCUAACACAUGCAAGUCGCACGAGUGGCGGACGGGUGAGUAAUGUCUGGGAAACUGCCUGAUGGAGGGGGAUAACUACUGGAAACGGUAGCUAAUACCGCAUACCAUCGGAUGUGCCCAGAUGGGAUUAGCUAGUAGGUGGGGUAAAGGCUCACCGAGGCGACGUACCCUAGCUGGUCUGAGAGGAUGACAAGACACACUGGAACUGAGACACGGGCCAGAGACCUACGGGAGGAAGAAGUGGGGAAGAUUGCACAAUGGGGGGAAGCCUGAUGCAGCCAUGCCGAGUGUAUGAAGAAGGCCAGAGGGGUGGAAAGUACUUUCAGCGGAGAGGCGUUACCCGCAGAAGAAGCACCGGCUAACUCCGUGCCAGCAGCCGCGGUAAUAC
rnacentral:rRNA from 1 species